GUGAAUCAUCAAAUCUUUGAACGCAAAUUGCACUCUCUUCGGAGAGUAUGCCUGUUUGAGGGUCAGUAUUAAUAAAAAUUGGUGUGUUUCUUCUUUGUGAAGCACCGGAGUUUGGGUACUCGUAAUAUAUCCUUUAGGUUUUAAGAGGCUUUAAAUUUACUUUUUUUUGUGCAUUUUAUUAGAUGUACAUAAAUUUUUUUUUUUUAUUCGUUUAUCUUUUUGCCCAAAUUACUAUUAGAUGCAACCA
rnacentral:misc_RNA from 1 species